UACGUAGGGACCAAGCGUUGUUCGGAUUUACUGGGCGUAAAGGGCGCGUAGGCGGCGUGGUAAGUCACUUGUGAAAUCUCUGAGCUUAACUCAGAACGGCCAAGUGAUACUGCUGUGCUAGAGUGCAGAAGGGGCAAUCGGAAUUCUUGGUGUAGCGGUGAAAUGCGUAGAUAUCAAGAGGAACACCUGAGGUGAAGACGGGUUGCUGGGCUGACACUGACGCUGGAGGCGCGAAGGCGUGGGGAGCGAACGGG
rnacentral:rRNA from 1 species